rnacentral:rRNA from 1 species
UACGAGGGGUGCAAGCGUUGUUCGGAAUUAUUGGGCGUAAAGGGCAGGUAGGCGGUCUUAUAAGUCUACUGUGAAAUCCCCGAGCUUAACUCGGGAAGUGCGGUGGAUACUGUAGGACUAGAGUACUGGAGGGGUUCGUGGAAUACCCGGUGUAGCGGUGAAAUGCGUAGAUAUCGGGUGGAACACCAGAGGCGAAGGCGGCGAACUUGACAGUAACUGACACUCAACUGCGAAAGCGUGGGGAGCAAACAGG